UACGAAGGGAGCUAGCGUUGUUCGGAAUCACUGGGCUUAAAGCGUGUGUAGGCGGGUCGUUAAGUACCUUGUGAAAUCCCACGGCUCAACCGUGGAACUGCUCGGUAUACUGGCGAUCUUGAGCCACUUAGGGGCUACCGGAACAAAUGGUGGAGCGGUGAAAUGCGUAGAUAUCAUUUGGAACGCCAAUGGUGAAAACAGGUAGCUGGGAGUGUGCUGACGCUGAGACACGAAAGCCAGGGGAGCGAACGGG
rnacentral:rRNA from 1 species